rnacentral:tRNA from 1 species
GAGGGUAUAGCUCAGUGGUAAAGCACAUACUUAGCAUACAUGAGGUCCUGGGUUCCAUCCCCAGUACCACCA